GGCGGAAGUGACUGAUCAAUUCAGGGGCGUGGGGUUCGUUUAGGUUUUGCCCUGUGUAUGACCUCGUUUGGAGCCAUGAAACCAGAGAACUUGAAUACAGCAAUCAACAGAUGUCACUAUUGACCUCUGAAAAUAAAGGAGGAAGAGGAGAAAGACAGUGUGGAGGUGGGAUUGGACAAAGGCAUGAUCCUUGGAGGAAAGGUUAUUUUAGGGCAAUGAUGGAAAGCACCAAGUGGAGUCUGGAGCUAGACUGAUCUGUGUUCAAUCCUGUCUUGGUUACUCAUUGGGGGGCCUCGACUUUCAUGUCUCUGUAAUGUCCCUGACAGUAUCUGCCUCACAGGGUUGCUGUGAGAGUCAAGCGAGAUGUCUGAGGAAUAGUCUUAGUGGAUUAUCCCAAACUUGACACAUUUUUUGCAAAAUGCUAUACAAAAAGAAGAUACAUGCGAUUAUGACAAGAUUCUCCACUUGGUGUGACCAGUCUCAUACAACCCAAGGCUGUGUGUCCAAAGGCAACUGUACUGAUCUUGACAAUAAUCAAAAGGUAGCCAGGUGCAUCGG
rnacentral:lncRNA from 1 species